UCCCUGGUGGCUCAGAUGGUAAAGUGUCUACCUGUAAUGUGGGAGAUCUGGGUUUGAUCCCCGGGUUGGGAA
rfam:Ovis aries breed Texel chromosome 3, whole genome shotgun sequence.